rnacentral:lncRNA from 1 species
UAUCUUUUAUUUUGCAACCUCCGUAAAUAUACUUUGAAUUUCUAGAUUUUGUAGAUCCCACUGGUUAUAUGCACUUCUGUCAUCUGAAAAUAAUGAAAAUUGUAUGUCUUCAUUUCCAAUCUAUCUUUUUUGGUUCACUUUCUCCCCUCUCUUCUUCCUUUCCUUCUUUUUUCUCUCCCUCUCUCACUCCCUUCUUCUUUCUCCCCUAGUGUGACUUAUAGCUUAAGGAUGUUCAAGAGACUCAAGUAUCGAAGACCCCUACAGUUAGGUUCCAGUACCUGCCCAGUAUAGAACACAGGCCUGAGAAAUAAAACUAAAAGACGGAACUAGGAGAGAAAAUGGGGUGCCAGGGCAACGAAUGCCAGUGCAACCGACAAACCCAGGCACUGACUUUUAUUGGCAAUCAAUUGGGAUAAAGGCAAGCUACGUGCAGUUUCUAUAGAAAUUUUAGGAAGAGAAUAGACAAAAUAUAUGGUUGUAAUUAGAACACCAUUCUUCUAGUAAAAAGGUUUUUGUUGUGGGAACAGAACUUGGGUGCAAGUUACUCUGACCUCAGCAUGUAGGUUUGUAGGCUUCGUAGGCUUCACCAGACUCACUUCUCAAAACAACCCAGGUGUGGGGUUAAUUCUUCACAGCCUGCUUUGGGCAGAAUCAAUGUUACGGUCCUCUGCACUCAAGCAGAAAUCGUUACCUUCCAAGUGUAAAGGAAGUUGUGCUUCACCAUGAUCUGAUGAAGGAAAUUUCAUUCUUUUUAUUUUCAGAUUAUGAUUGUUCAGAGGCUGUAUCAUGAGUAGGUGCUGAGUUUUAUUAUGUUUAUUCUGCAUCUGUUGAUAUGGUCAUAUAAUCUUUCUUCUUUAUUCUGAUAAUGUGAAUGAUACUUAUUGACUUCUUAAAAAUGACAAUCAACCUUGCUAUCUCAGGAUAAAUUUCAUUUGGUCGACAUAUAUUGUUCUUUUAAUAUAUUGGCAGGUUUUAUGUGCUAGCAAUUCUUAAGAGCUUCCACAUUAUUUUUCCUUAGGAGUGCUGGUCUAUAAUUUUCUGUUCUUGUAAUGACUUUAUGAGGUUUUAGAAACAUAAUUAUGCUAACAUGAUGAGUUGAGAAAUGUUCCAACACCUUAUAUUUUGUGAGAGUAUGAUAUUGACAUUAUUUCUGCCUUAAAUGUUUGAUGGAAUUCAUUAGUAAAGCUAUCUGGCUCUGAGUUUUAUUUAUGGGAAGAUUUUUUGAAAAUAAAAAUUCAUUUAAUA